AAUUUAAGAAAUUUGUUUUAAAUUACUUAAAUUUGUUUUAAAUGUACAAUAUAAUUGAUUUAAUUAUAGUAAUUAUACAGUUAUUUUGAUGUAUUGGUAUAUUUGCAUAUUAAACACACAAUUAAUUAACUGUAUAAGUAAUAGAAUAAAUUGGACUUAAAACAGGCUGUCUUAGUCAGGGUUUCUAUUCCUGCACAAACAUCAUGACCAAGAAGCAAGUUGGGGAGGAAAGGGUUUAUUCGGCUUACACUUCCAUACUGCUGUUCAUCACCAAAGGAUGUCAGGACUGGAACUCAAGCAGGUCAGGGAGCAGGAGCUGAUGCAGAGGCCAUGGAGGGAUGCUUACUGGCUUGCUUCCCCUGGCUUGCUCAGCCUCCUCUCUUAUAGAACCCAAGACUACCAACCUAGAGAUAGUCCCACCCACAAGGGGCCUUUCCCCCUUGAUCACUAAUUGAGAAAAAUGCCUUACAGUUGGAUCUCAUGGAGGCAUUUCCUCAACUGAAGCUCCUUUCUCUGUGAUAACCCCAGCCUAUGUCAAGUUGACACAAAACUAACCAGUACAUAGGCCAAGAAGGUUCACAGUCAAAGCAGAGAGCGUUAACUCUGGAAGAAUGGAGAAUACAGGAUGUAUGCAGAUCACAAACUUGAUUGUUUUUGGUUCUUUUGUCUUCAACUCAAUUCUCCUACUGGGCUUAUCAUGCAAAGUCCAUAACGAAGGACUCUAGGUGAGGAAGUAUGGAACAUUGUCUAAAAGAAUAUUGAAAAGGAAGAUGAACUAGGCUAAAAGAUCC
rnacentral:lncRNA from 1 species